rnacentral:rRNA from 1 species
GACGAACGCUGGCGGCGCGCUUAACACAUGCGAGUCGAACGGAAAGGCCUGCUUUCCCUUGUGGAUUGCGGGUACUCGAGUGGCGAACGGGUGAGUAACACGUGAGUGAUCUGCCCCCAACUUGGGUAUAAGCCUGGGAAACUGGGUCUAAUUCCCGAUAGGACUGCAGGGUGGUGCCUGUGGUGGAAAACGAUUUUCUAGUGGUUGGGGAUGAGCUCGCGGCCUAUCAGCUUGUUGGUGGGGUAAUGGCCUACCAAGGCGGCGACGGGUAGCCGGCCUGGGAGGGAGGACGGCCACAUUGGGGCUGAGAGACGGCCCAGACUCCUACGGGGGGCAGCAGUGGGGAAUAGUGCACAAUGGGCGGAAGCCUGAUGCAGCGACGCCGCGUGGGGGAUGACGGCCUUCGGGUUGUAAACUCCUUUCGACCGCGAGGAAGCCACCUGGUUGGAAGGGUGGUGACGGUAGUGGGAGAAGAAGCACCGGCUAACUACGUG